GGCCCCGUCGUCUAGCGGCCUAGGACAUCAGGUUUUCAUCCUGAGAAUCAGGGGUUCGAAUCCCCUCGGGGUCACCA
rnacentral:tRNA from 1 species